UUGUUGUGUAUACUUGCACAUUGGUAUUGAUAAUAAUUGAUUACAUAAAUCAACCAACAAUUAGCUUCCCUUGAAUUCUGCAUAAUAUCGGCCAAAGUCUUAACGUUAAUUCCACUUGAUGUUGCAUUGUACUUGCCUAGAUAUGCUGCCACAUCUAACCUAUCUCCCUCUAACCGCAGUGGCAUUCCCCCAUCAGAUACUCCCAUUAUGUAGCAAAACCUAUUGGCACUAAGUUCUAACUCCUUACCAUUAAAUUCUAUCACACACCUAGCCACAUCCGUCCUCUGAACAAGCCAACAACAUAGUUUCCUUUUCAGUCUUCCACAAUUAAGCUUAAUCAGAUUAUCUAGUCCCAUUUCAGAAACUACUUCCCUCUGGUCAUCUGUCAGUUGUACCACAACAGCUGCAAACCUGUCAGGUGUGCACCAGGUGAGAAACUUUCUCUCCUCAACAACAACUUUCUCAGCUCUGUGCGAUUGGGUUAUGUAUUUGCUUUUCUCACCCGGAGGUAAGUUUUUAAAUUCCGUUCCUAGUUCUUUGCGAACCUAUACGAAAUUAUUACAUACCAUUUCCAAUAUAUUCUCAACUAAAUCAAUUAAAACAUCGCUUUUAAUUUACUAACCUCUCUCGUAAUGCUUGCGCUUGCAUCAUUUGCCUUCAUUCGACGCACCGCUUCCCCACUGAACAUUUACAAAAUUGCAUUGAUUUACGAACACAUCAUAUUCAAGUUUGUCUGUGCGAACAAAUUAAUUGACUUCAUUAAUUUUUCGGUACUCUUUCACAAACUUACAACAAGUUGACAAAUUCAUAGCUACUUUGCGUGGCUUCAUUCCCUUCACCAUUGACAAUGGUCACUGUUUCGAGAUCACCAUUAGGAUUGCAUAACUUCCGCUUACGAAUUCUCCCCAGUUCCGUUCCUGCAACCCAAAUCAUUCUUAAAUAUCACUUUAACAUUCUUUUCUUCUUUCUUGCCUUUAAUCUAGUGACUUCAGCCUCAAUUUUUAAUAUAUCAUAUUACCAUUAUAUAUUAAUAUUUCAUCUAUUUACUAAUAAUUGCUAUAUCAUCUAUAUUCUAUAGGCUAUUUUCACACAAGCAGUCUACCUUCGAGGGCAAAGACAACGAAACCUAUUUACACGGUAUAAAUAAAAUCAAGUGCUUGCAUUCUGAAAUGGAUCCAACCAAAUUACAUUUAUAUUAAAUUCAUCGUCAUCAGCCAAUCAAAUAUACUACUCACGACGCAUAUGAUGUGGGUACUUGAUUGCAUCAUUUCUACUAAGGAGCACAAUACUAUUUUCAAUCCUAGUGAACUUAAAAUUUUUUUCCCCGCAAUGAGGAUAGUGAACCACCAAUUUUCCAAUUCUUUAGAAAAAUGUACCUCGGUAUCAAGUUUCAAAUCCUCUUCUUUACGGCUCGCCUACUAGAUGUCUUCUAAGUUGAAUGAUGCAGGAUGGUUAUUUGUCUUCUAUAAUUUGGCUACCGUGAAGCAAAAAAGCCUCCAUUCACAUUCGUCUUCGUUUUUUAUUAUCGACGACAAUUCCCUUGCACUUUAUAUUCCCAAAUACAAACCUAAUUUCUUUGAAACCAAAAUUAUUACAUAACUCAAUUUGAAGGAAUUUUAAAAUAAUGCGAUGUUUUCAUCCAUGCAAUUUCAAGAAGAUGGUUGCUGCUAAUUGGGAGCCAGAGACAAAAAUUCUAGGUUACGCCUGAGCAAAAUACUUUUUUUUUUUAUUCGACAUUGGUGGAUUGGAGAACAAAAGCGAUUGCCACCGGAAACAUAGGUUGCAGUUAACCUCUUCUAUCUAACCUAUUACAUUUUACCCAUUAGAUUACAUGAGUUUCAAUCCAACGAUUGCUUCUCUAAAAAGAUAAAAUAAGGAGAUUACCUAUCCCCGUUACAAGGUAGUUGGACCCUUAAUAACAAUACAAUUUAUUCUCAUUGUGAUUGUUAUAGUUAAAGUAAACAAUUAAUUUUAAUUUCCAUUUCUCAUUCUGAUUACAGCUCAUUUCCAAUUAAUUCAAUUCUAAUUCAUUCCAACUCAUUCUAAUUUUAAUUUAUUCUGAUUACUGAUUAGUAAAUGCACUACUAGUUCGUAUAAACAAUUUGUAACUUACGGCAACUUUAACUUAUCUUAUUAAAUAGAAUAAAAAUUGAAUUUAAAGAAUUGUGCAGGUACCGGCUAAUAUGGUGGUGAAAGGUGAAUGGAAUGAUAGCUGCCAUAGUUGCUCAUGCAAAAUAAUCUUCUGACGUCAAUAUUUAUCAAGAGGGAUCAUUUUUAAGAAAUCUAGUUAUAUCCAUGAAUAUUCUAGAUUAUAGCUUCGAUCACUUUGCAAAUAAGCCAUGGAUUGACAACAAUGGAAACCUCGAUAAUGUUGGCAAGGUUGUAAUCUUCGUAGAAUGACUAGCUUUGAUAGAUAUUUGAACAUUCGCUAUUAAAUUUGUUACCACUAAAAGAUUCUUCUAAUUAUGCAUCAAAUUAAAAUUAUUUCUUUAUUAUUGCUGAUUUUCCAUGUAAUAAUAAUUUGUUCAAUGCUCUAGAAAUUUGGCAAGUAGUUUUUAAAUAAUUUUCUAUUUAGUUGGUUACUAAAAUUUAAAUUUUGAAAAAAAAUUAAAAAAUUAGUAUAAAUUUUAUCCACAUCUUCCUCCUUUUUGGCCUUUUAAAUAUAAUAAUAAUCAAAUCAGUUCAG
rnacentral:lncRNA from 1 species